CAGGUGGUGUGAGGUGUGGCCAGGAGGAAACCUGGAAGCCUGACAUGAGAGGGUCUCAUCAGAUGCUCCUAGGAGGUCUUGCUGACAA
ensembl:miRNA